GAUGAACGCUGGCGGCGUGCCUAAUACAUGCAAGUCGAGCGAACGGACGAGAAGCUUGCUUUUCUGAUGUUAGCGGCGGACGGGUGAGUAACACGUGGAUAACCUACCUAUAAGACUGGGAUAACUUCGGGAAACCGGAGCUAAUACCGGAUAAUACUUUGAACCGCAUGGUUCAAAAGUGAAAGACGGUCUUGCUGUCACUUAUAGAUGGAUCCGCGCUGCAUUAGCUAGUUGGUAAGGUAACGGCUUACCAAGGCAACGAUGCAUAGCCGACCUGAGAGGGUGAUCGGCCACACUGGAACUGAGACACGGUCCAGACUCCUACGGGAGGCAGCAGUAGGGAAUCUUCCGCAAUGGGCGAAAGCCUGACGGAGCAACGCCGCGUGAGUGAUGAAGGUCUUCGGAUCGUAAAACUCUGUUAUUAGGGAAGAACAUAUGUGUAAGUAACUGUGCACAUCUUGACGGUACCUAAUCAGAAAGCCACGGCUAACUACGUGCCAGCAGCCGCGGUAAUACGUAGGUGGCAAGCGUUAUCCGGAAUUAUUGGGCGUAAAGCGCGCGUAGGCGGUUUUUUAAGUCUGAUGUGAAAGCCCACGGCUCAACCGUGGAGGGUCAUUGGAAACUGGAAAACUUGAGUGCAGAAGAGGAAAGUGGAAUUCCAUGUGUAGCGGUGAAAUGCGCAGAGAUGUGGAGGAACACCAGUGGCGAAGGCGACUUUCUGGUCUGUAACUGACGCUGAUGUGCGAAAGCGUGGGGAUCAAACAGGAUUAGAUACCCUGGUAGUCCACGCCGUAAACGAUGAGUGCUAAGUGUUAGGGGGUUUCCGCCCCUUAGUGCUGCAGCUAACGCAUUAAGCACUCCGCCUGGGGAGUACGACCGCAAGGUUGAAACUCAAAGGAAUUGACGGGGGCCCGCACAAGCGGUGGAGCAUGUGGUUUAAUUCGAAGCAACGCGAAGAACCUUACCAAAUCUUGACAUCCUUUGACAACUCUAGAGAUAGAGCCUUCCCCUUCGGGGGACAAAGUGACAGGUGGUGCAUGGUUGUCGUCAGCUCGUGUCGUGAGAUGUUGGGUUAAGUCCCGCAACGAGCGCAACCCUUAAGCUUAGUUGCCAUCAUUAAGUUGGGCACUCUAAGUUGACUGCCGGUGACAAACCGGAGGAAGGUGGGGAUGACGUCAAAUCAUCAUGCCCCUUAUGAUUUGGGCUACACACGUGCUACAAUGGACAAUACAAAGGGCAGCGAAACCGCGAGGUCAAGCAAAUCCCAUAAAGUUGUUCUCAGUUCGGAUUGUAGUCUGCAACUCGACUACAUGAAGCUGGAAUCGCUAGUAAUCGUAGAUCAGCAUGCUACGGUGAAUACGUUCCCGGGUCU
rnacentral:rRNA from 1 species